CAGCUCCGGUUGCCCCCAUUACAAUCAAAACCUUUUCUUUCUGUCUCCUGGGUAGCAAAAGGUCCAUUUUGAGCCUCCCGGUCGGUAUGUCCAGUGAAGACAGUGAAGGGCUUGUAUGAUUGAGCAAUAACGUUGAAAUUCUCAUGAUGAACCUCUGUGAAAAAACAUGAUAAAAAGAAACUCACCCUUUUGUGUAUGAAACGCUGCAAAUCGAAAAGGUUUGAAGUCUCUUAUUUCUCUUCAAAGUUCAGGUGGCUUUUCACUGGACAUGGCAAACUGGAAUUGAAGCAUAAAUAUUUAUAGACAGAGUCCCAACUCAAAACCAAAUAUUUAUGUCAAUUUGAGACUCUCACUGUGUCUCUUUCAAGUCCACUGUUAAAGCACAAAAGUGGUUCUAACAAUAUUCCUCUAAAAAGUUUGAUUGCUUUGAUUAAUAAUCUUAGAGGAAAUGAUUUAUAAUAAUAAUAAUAAUAAUAAUGAAAUGAUGUUAUUAUUAAUAAACAAUUUCUUGACCAUACAGAACAUGAAAAGGCAUUGCUGUUUCUGGGAAAGCAGUGGGCAGAAAUGAUGAUUAAGUGUCUUUCCACUCAGGUUAUCGCACAAGAUGGGAUAUAAAAUUCUCUUCAGAACUUUUAAGGAAUGGAAGUUUUGCACUUUACAAAAAGGAUGUGAAGCCAAACCAAUAUUUGAUCAAAAUAACUUUUAUAAUUCUACUUGCAGCACUGCCUUUUUUUAUUUUGUUCAUUUCGCUAAAAAUAGAAGUACUUUUGAUCCUCAAAGUAUGCCAUUGUCGUGAGGCAAAUUUCUGCCCAGCACACUCAGGGAAUCUUUACAGUACUGGGCUACUGGCUGGACUCAACUCUACACGGAGCUCUUUUUUCUCAAACAUCUGAUUCCCUCUUUCCAACUUGUUCUUGCGUUUUCUCUUUUGGUCCCCUAACAAAUUUUUCCAUUUCACACCCAUUUUCCCCUAUCAAUUUUUAAGUCUCAGAGAAAAGAAAAUUUGCCGUCUGAUUUUGUAAGUCUGUGGUCACUGUGAGUUAUUUUGUUUCAUUGAUUAGGCUUAUAGAUAUCUAUCUAUCUAUCUAUAAAAUUUGGACUGAGCGUGCUUUGUCAAAAGGCUAAGACUAUAAGAGAUCUGAGUAGGGCCCUGAUUUUCAUCUGAAAAAUGACUAAUAAUGUGUUGAUCCAUUUAACCAGAAAUUCUUCCACAAUCUUAUCUAACAAAAGUACUAAUGAUUUUCUCAUCUGGGUAUCGUUCUAAAUGAGCAACAAUCAUUAAUUGGUUAGCAGUCAGAACAGAAGAAAGAAGUUAAAAUUCUGCCGAGAUAGAAACUGCUUGAAGCGAAGCUCAUGACAGCACGAGUGGGCAUCAAAUCAAUAUAAUUGAAGUUCAUUUUUUUCAUACAUCAAAUCUCGUCUACUGUAAUAUUGGGUUGUCUUGUUUAACAAGGUGGAAGGAUCACGCG